rnacentral:rRNA from 1 species
AUACGGAGGGUGCAAGCGUUAAUCGGAAUUACUGGGCGUAAAGCGCGCGUAGGCGGUUUAGUCAGUCAGAUGUGAAAGCCCCGGGCUCAACCUGGGAACUGCAUUUGAUACUGCUGAACUAGAGUAUGGUAGAGGGAAGUGGAAUUCCGGGUGUAGCGGUGAAAUGCGUAGAUAUCCGGAGGAACACCAGUGGCGAAGGCGACUUCCUGGACCAAUACUGACGCUGAGGUGCGAAAGCGUGGGUAGCAAACAGGAUUAGAUACCCUAGUAGUCC